rfam:Salmo salar isolate Sally breed double haploid chromosome ssa02, whole genome shotgun sequence.
ACACUGGCUUUACUCAAAGCCACUGGCAUAAAGAUUGAAAAAUGUAU